AAGACGGUCUUGCUGUCACUUAUAGAUGGAUCCGCGCUGCAUUAGCUAGUUGGUAAGGUAACGGCUUACCAAGGCAACGAUGCAUAGCCGACCUGAGAGGGUGAUCGGCCACACUGGAACUGAGACACGGUCCAGACUCCUACGGGAGGCAGCAGUAGGGAAUCUUCCGCAAUGGGCGAAAGCCUGACGGAGCAACGCCGCGUGAGUGAUGAAGGUCUUCGGAUCGUAAAACUCUGUUAUUAGGGAAGAACAUAUGUGUAAGUAACUGUGCACAUCUUGACGGUACCUAAUCAGAAAGCCACGGCUAACUACGUGCCAGCAGCCGCGGUAAUACGUAGGUGGCAAGCGUUAUCCGGAAUUAUUGGGCGUAAAGCGCGCGUAGGCGGUUUUUUAAGUCUGAUGUGAAAGCCCACGGCUCAACCGUGGAGGGUCAUUGGAAACUGGAAAACUUGAGUGCAGAAGAGGAAAGUGGAAUUCCAUGUGUAGCGGUGAAAUGCGCAGAGAUAUGGAGGAACACCAGUGGCGAAGGCGACUUUCUGGUCUGUAACUGACGCUGAUGUGCGAAAGCGUGGGGAUCAAACAGGAUUAGAUACCCUGGUAGUCCACGCCGUAAACGAUGAGUGCUAAGUGUUAGGGGGUUUCCGCCCCUUAGUGCUGCAGCUAACGCAUUAAGCACUCCGCCUGGGGAGUACGACCGCAAGGUUGAAACUCAAAGGAAUUGACGGGGACCCGCACAAGCGGUGGAGCAUGUGGUUUAAUUCGAAGCAACGCGAAGAACCUUACCAAAUCUUGACAUCCUUUGACAACUCUAGAGAUAGAGCCUUCCCCUUCGGGGGACAAAGUGACAGGUGGUGCAUGGUUGUCGUCAGCUCGUGUCGUGAGAUGUUGGGUUAAGUCCCGCAACGAGCGCAACCCUUAAGCUUAGUUGCCAUCAUUAAGUUGGGCACUCUAAGUUGACUGCCGGUGACAAACCGGAGGAAGGUGGGGAUGACGUCAAAUCAUCAUGCCCCUUAUGAUUUGGGCUACACACGUGCUACAAUGGACAAUACAAAGGGCAGCGAAACCGCGAGGUCAAGCAAAUCCCAUAAAGUUGUUCUCAGUUCGGAUUGUAGUCUGCAACUCGACUACAUGAAGCUGGAAUCGCUAGUAAUCGUAGAUCAGCAUGCUACGGUGAAUACGUUCCCGGGUCUUGUACACACCGCCCGUCACACCACGAGAGUUUGUAACACCCGAAGCCGGUGGAGUAACCUUUUAGGAGCUAGCCGUCGAAGGUGGGACAAAUGAUUGGGGUGAAGUCGUAACA
rnacentral:rRNA from 1 species